rnacentral:lncRNA from 1 species
CUUAUCUACCCCCAUGACCCCUCCUAGAUGGCUACAUUGACUUCAGGUGGAGAGAAGCCAAACAAAGACUUGGAGAGCUGCAGUGAUGACGACAACCAGGGGUCCAAGUCCCCAAAGAUUCUGACUGAUGAGAUGCUGCUCCAAGCCUGUGAGGGGCGAACAGCACACAAGUAAGUAGUGGUCAGCUCCUUGAGCUCCCUUUUCUCCCCACCUUUGACCAUGGCCUGUGCCACCUCUUGGUUCUUUUUACCCCAGGGAAAUGAUUCCUAUUACCUACCCAUCUAUUGCCUGAAGAUAGGCAGCUCCCCACUCCUACCCUCCACCAACUUUCCCUGCAGGCUUAAGGACUAGGCCCAUUUCCCCCGAUACCCUCGCUUUGACUUGGACCCUGUCUGUUUCAGGGCUGCCCGUCUUGGGAUCACAAUGAAGGCCAAGCUUGCUCGCCUAGAGGCCCAGGAGCAGGCCUUCCUGGCUCGUCUCAAAGGCCAGGACCCUGGGGCCCCUCAACUGCAGUCAGAGAGCAAGCCCCCCAAA